GACGAACGCUGGCGGCGUGCUUAACACAUGCAAGUCGAACGGAAAGGCCCUGCUUUUGUGGGGUGCUCGAGUGGCGAACGGGUGAGUAACACGUGAGUAACCUGCCCUUGACUUUGGGAUAACUUCAGGAAACUGGGGCUAAUACCGGAUAGGAGCUCCUGCUGCUUGGUGGGGGUUGGAAAGUUUCGGCGGUUGGGGAUGGACCCGCGUCGGAUCAGCUUGUUGGUGGGGUAGUGGCCUACCAAGGAGUUGACGCAUAGCCGGUCUGAGAGGAUGAUCAGGCACACUGGGACUGAGUCACGGCCCAGACUCCUACGGGAGGCAGCAGUGGGGAAUAUUGGACAAUGGGCGAAAGCCUGAUCCAGCAAUGCCGCGUGGGUGAUGAAGGCCUUAGGGUUGUAAAGCUCUUUUACCCGGGAUGAUAAUGACAGUACCGGGAGAAGAAGCUCCGGCUAACUCCGUG
rnacentral:rRNA from 1 species